UGACGUGGCCUCUUCUCCUCCACAGAAACUAGCGAAAUUUUGUUGACUGUUAACCUUCUGUUAACUGUAAAUUUCGUGUUGUCAUGGUAAAAGGAUAAGGGGUUUCUGGUAUAUUGGCAUCUGGGAUGUGAGGGUUACAGACUUGGCUCGACAUUUAUCUGGUUUGGCAGCUUAUUCAUCAAAGCCACGGAGAAGCGAGGACUUGGAUGAUCCCGAAGCUCCGCCGCAUCAACCAGCCCAUUACGGCCCUGCUGGAUGGACUCUUUUACAAGAUACUCUUUUUUCAAUUGUAAAGACAAGCAAAUAUUGCUCACACUUUCUUGUAGUCUAAACAUCACUCAGUCCUUAGCUAUUUAAUCUUAGGCUAUAACUUUAAUUUCAGUUUUGUUUAGGCAAUUGAAGUAUGGUCAUGGCUCUAGCUGGGAAUAAAGCAGAUCUAGUAGAGUGAAGGAAAGUGGCAGCAGAGUUGAUUAAACUGAAAGGACAUAUACAAAAAGCUGGAUAAACUUCCAGGCUGAAGAUGGUAAAAGACUUUGGAGGCACAAGCAAAUACACUAAAGUAAUUGGUACUUGAAGUAGAACGAGGAAGAUCCUUGUAAAAGUUUGAACCCUAUGUAGUAGAGAAAGAUAACUACCUUGUAAAACUCAAUUAUCUUGUAAACUUUCGUAGAAGCUUCAUUCCUUUUAUAACAUUUAUGAGAAAAAUUAAAAUGUAUCAUUCCCUUUCGUACAAGCUUUA